GACGAACCGUGCGAACGUUAUUCGGAUUCACUGGGCUUAAAGGGCGCGUAGGCGGCAGUCCAAGUCCGGGGUGAAAUCCUUCGGCCUCAACCGGAAGAGUCGCUUGGAUACUGGCGGCCUGGAGGGAGGCAGGGGCGGAUGGAACUUCCGGUGGAGCGGUGAAAUGCGUUGAUAUCGGAAGGAACGCCGGUGGCGAAAGCGAUCCGCUGGACCUCUUCUGACGCUGAGGCGCGAAAGCCAGGGGAGCAAACGGG
rnacentral:rRNA from 1 species